AAGAAGUCCCGGCAAACUCCGUGCCAGCAGCCGCGGUAAUACGGAGGGGGCAAGCGUUGUUCGGAAUUAUUGGGCGUAAAGGGCAUGUAGGCGGUUUGGUAAGUUAAAGGUGAAAUACCAGGGCUUAACCCUGGGGCUGCUUUUAAUACUGCAGGACUAGAGUCCGGAAGAGGAUAGCGGAAUUCCUAGUGUAGAGGUGAAAUUCGUAGAUAUUAGGAGGAACACCAGUGGCGAAGGCGGCUGUCUGGUCCGGUACUGACGCUGAGGUGCGAAAGCGUGGGGAGCAAACAGGAUUAGAUA
rnacentral:rRNA from 1 species